AAAUCUCAGCCCUUCACUCUAAAAUCCAACGAUUGAGAUUAAGUGAUUAACCCUAAAAUCUAAGCCUACAGUCCAUACUAUAUUAACCCCUUUUUUUCAUUUCCUCCCCCAUUUCGCCACUUUCUAAACCCUAAUCUCAAUUUCUCUGUUUGCAAUUCAGAUCUACACCAUCUCUCACAAAAACCCUAACCAUUAUUCUUCUUCGAACCAAAACUACCAAAGAUUCAAAUGAGGAAUCACAUUAUCUAUUUACAUUUCGAUGAGCUUGGUGAAGUAGAAGACGACGAAAAAUAACGGCAAGAAGAAUCCAGAAGAUGACACUCUGUAGUCCAGUUAGCGAAAGCGAAAGUUUCCGGUAGAUCAUGAUAUUUUCGACAACAAACUUUCUAGAAAUUCGGCUUAAGUUUAGCGAGAUCAAAGGUGUUUUCUUCGCACUGCAGCAGAUCAGAGAGAAAGCUGAACAAGAUGGCCUGAAUAAGAAGGAGGAAAUGAUUUCUAGAUGGAGAAAAGUGCCACCUUUUAUAUUAGGGCGUAUUAGUUGCUGAUUUUGUAAUGUUGUUGGAAGCUUGGAAUGAUUAAUGGCAGUUUUUGUUCAAUUUUAAUUUUAUAUUUUUUUUGUCUAAUACUUUAAGUCUGAUUUUAUUUAUUUUAUUUCUAAUAUUUAUUAAAUACUAAGUAAAACAAAUGUUUGAUCGUUAGAGAGAGACGUCUUCACUAUUUUUUUAUUAGACAUUAAAACAUUAAGUAACAAGGACCGAACACGUUCAAACAUUAAGUAAGUCUGAUUUUAUUUAUUUCUAAAACAGCAUGUUAUAAUUUACAUUUAAACUCUAAAAAUAUUGUAAUUUGCCUAAUUUCUAAACAGAACCAAAUAUAAAUGGGCUGAAAAUGUACAUAAUGAUUAAUUCAAUUCAACUAUUUACAUAAAUUAAAAAAAAGUUGGAGGUUAAGAAUUAAGAUACCUUA